CCUACGGGCGGCAGCAGUGGGGAAUAUUGGACAAUGGGGGGAACCCUGAUCCAGCCAUGCCGCGUGUGUGAAGAAGGCCCUCGGGUUGUAAAGCACUUUCAGUGAGGAAGAACGCCUGGUGGUUAAUACCCAUCAGGAAAGACAUCACUCACAGAAGAAGCACCGGCUAACUCCGUACCAGCAGCCGCGGUAAUACGGAGGGUGCGAGCGUUAAUCGGAAUUACUGGGCGUAAAGCGCGCGUAGGUGGCUUGAUAAGCCGGUUGUGAAAGCCCCGGGCUCAACCUGGGAACGGCAUCCGGAACUGUCAAGCUAGAGUGCAGGAGAGGAAGGUAGAAUUCCCGGUGUAGCGGUGAAAUGCGUAGAGAUCGGGAGGAAUACCAGUGGCGAAGGCGGCCUUCUGGACUGACACUGACACUGAGGUGCGAAAGCGUGGGUAGCAAACAGGAUUAGAUACCCCAGUAGUC
rnacentral:rRNA from 1 species